UACGUAGGGACCAAGCGUUGUUCGGAUUUACUGGGCGUAAAGGGCGCGUAGGCGGCAAUUCAAGUCAUCUGUGAAAUCUCCGGGCUUAACCCGGAACGGUCAGGUUAUACUGCUUUGCUAGAGUGCGGAAGGGGCAAUCGGAAUUCUUGGUGUAGCGGUGAAAUGCGUAGAUAUCAAGAGGAACACCUGAGGUGAAGACGGGUUGCUGGGCCGACACUGACGCUGACAGCGCGAAAGCCAGGGGAGCAAACGGG
rnacentral:rRNA from 1 species